AAAGAAAUCUAACAACAAUUGACUCCACACUAAUUCGUAAAUUGAAAAACAAAAAGUAUAGAAGUGUAUAGAUUAUAAGGCUUGCCUUCAAUAAGACAAUUGGUCUAAUGAUCUUUAUCUAUUUUUGCUAUGCUUGUCAAAUAUGAGUUGUCUGCUGCAAGGGUAGAAAAUACUUUUUUCUUAGUGAUGAUUUUUUUCUUGUUUUUAAAAUUAACAAGUAGAAGUUUGUUGUUUCUCAAGUAACAAGGUGGAAUUAUAGUUGCAGGUCAUGGAAAAACUAACAUCUCAUUCGUUCACAACGACAAAGAAGCUGGGAAUGAUCCUAAUAUCAAAGAUGUUCUGAAAGCCUGUUGUUCAUGAAGAAGAAAUGGCGUGCAUGCUAAAAUCCUCUAUCAGAUUUUACUUAAUUUAUAUAUACUUUCUAUUUGCACACUUAUCUCAUACAAACACACUGGCCCCAUUUUAUUUCAGCAGCUUCCAACCUUGAAAAGUGAGUAGUUCAGGUUUAUGAGGUGAUUUAGAAUGCUUACAAAUAAUAUUUUUCUU